UACGGAGGGUGCGAGCGUUGCUCGGAAUCACUGGGCGUAAAGCGUACGCAGGCUGUUUCGUAAGUCGGGUGUGAAAGCCCCGGGCUCAACCUGGGAAUGGCGAUGGAUACUGGCUCGCUAGAGUGCGGUAGAGGAGAGUGGAAUUCCCGGUGUAGCAGUGAAAUGCGUAGAGAUCGGGAGGAACAUCAGUUGCGAAGGCGGCUCUCUGGACCAGCACUGACACUGAGGCACGAAAGCGUGGGGAGCAAACAGG
rnacentral:rRNA from 1 species